rnacentral:tRNA from 1 species
AAAUCUUAUUUUAGUUAGACUGCAAAUUUAACAAAGAAAUAAAUUCUAAGAUUUU